GACGAGAUCUCGACCCUUAAUAGGUGCCCGUGUCGAUUGUAGUCUCACCUCCGCUUGCUUGCAAGAUUGGAGUGGGACGAGACUGCGGGAAUACUUCUUAAGGGGACUGUAUGCGUUUAUAGCAUGCGGAAGAGCGAGCCAAUAGCAGGUCUGUGAUGCUCCUAAAUGUCCUAGGCUGCACGCGCACUACACUGAUGCAAUAAACGAGUCUGAGUGCCUUCUGGCAACCUACCUGGAAGCGGGUGGGAAAUCUUUUGAACUUGCAUCGUGAUGAGGAUCGACGAUUGCAAUUAUUCUCCUUGAAUGAGGAAUGCCUAGUAGGCACAAGUCAUCAGCUUGUACUGAUUACGUCCCUGCCAUUUGUACACACCGCCCGUCGUUGCUACUGAUUGGCUGUAGGGUAGAGAUCGGCGGAUUCCGAGCUGUUGGGGCAACCCUUCUGUUUGGGAGAAACCUAUCAAUAUUCUGCAGCUAGAAGAAGCAAAAGUCGUAACAAGGUUGCUGUAGGUGAACCUGCAGAAGGAUCAAAUCACUAGUGAAUUC
rnacentral:rRNA from 1 species